rnacentral:lncRNA from 10 species
GAGAGUGGAAGUCAAGUCCCACAGGUGACCCAGCUAGAGAGAGUGUCCCCAGUCACAAUUGGAGUCUUAUGUAAGAAGAAAUAAGGAAAGCCUACUGGGUUGAAUCUAAAAGUAGAAAACUCAUAACAAGGCUAUGUGUGAACAUCAAGAGAGAAUUCAAGAUGGCGGGGAUGACACUCUUUAGUCCAUGUGUGCCUGGUUUUCAUCAUCUCCUUGACUUACACACAUGUGGGUGCCUUUACCUCUGAAGACUUUUUCUCUUCUAACUGAUGAUGCUCCAUUCUCUUCUGACAAAAGCUCCCUGCCAAGGCCUGAUUGAACCUCUGCCCUGUGGUUCCUUGAAACAUCGUCAUAUUCUUGUACUAAAUUCCCCAUUUUCUUAAGCUAGCUCUGGUAAGUUUUUGCCAUUUACAGUCAAAGUGAACUCACUAAUAAAAUAUUCCCAACUGCAUAA